AGCUUGGUGACUCCUGACCUGUCAUGGCAGGAUUAGAAUAAUGAAGCGACACUGAAAGCUCGGAGAAGAACGUGAAUCCGAAGUCAAUGUGUCUGCUCCGGGCUCCGAAUGGCCCACAUUUAGUGGGCCUCCCCAUGUUGCCAUGGCAACCCACUUUGGUACCUCGGCGCAUCCUUGGUGUAGGAAAACAAGGGAUAGAGUGUUCUUAGGAAGGUACAAUCCCCUUUAAGCGGAUCUAGAAGCAUCACAGAUGAACAGAACUUUAAACAUUCCGCCAUGAAUAUUCAUGAAAUUCGGGAGCAGGAGGGAGAAACAAAAUGAUCAUUUAAAUGCUAUGCGAUUCAGAAUGGAGAAGACAAGAAAACCCUAGGGAUGCCCUGACGGAAGUGAGAGAGAAGAGACGAACUGUGGAGGUUGCCACCAUGGUGCUGUGGGGCCUUCACCAUCAACUUUCACGGUGUGUCUGCACUGGGACCGAGCUAACACAGCACUUCCAGGACAGAGGAGAAGAUGCAUAGCUCCAUGUCUUAAUUCUGGUUUCCAUGGGAAGAAUGUUGAACUGGAAAAUCAGCCAACACCUCAGAGAAACUUCCUCCCUUUCAAGCCAAAGUCAUGGUAUUGUUUUAAUGUUGGGUUUGACCAUGAAGAUGGCAUUCAGGCAAAUUAAGAAGUUGUGUAAUGUUAUAAAUAAAUAAAAAGCAGUUAAACAGCUUUGAAUAUCACUUCUACCCUAUUAAUUGUGUGAUUUUGGAAAAAUU
rnacentral:lncRNA from 1 species